GUCCUGCCACCAGGAAGAGGCUGCUGGCGGCACCGCCGACCGCAUUUCGCCUCUGGGAGCUGGGACCGUCCGGGCAGAAGCCUGGCUGAUACCACUGCCAAGGGCAUCCUCGAUAAAAACAUGACUUAUGAGAGAUCAUGACUGUAGAGCCAGCCAGGCUACACAGUAGUCUUUUCCAUCUUGUGACUGCUGGUCCCGGCCUGUGUCACCUACAAGCCUCCCUGGGGACUCCCAGCCUCCAGCCUCUCUGCAUGCCCCUCACACCGACCAUCGGGAGAAUCAUCCAGAAGAGCCACCGCUUAAACCCUCCAACGGCUCUCCACCGCCCACGGGAUCCACUCUGGCACUUCAGCGUGUCCUCCGAGUCCUCCCCUUCCACACAGGCCAGCCUGUCUGUCCUCUGAGUUCCCGCCUGCCUCACUUGGCACAUUUUCAUGGGAACCUAGUUCACUGGUAUUUCUAUUGUUUUCGGAGCCAUCCUCCUCCCCAGCUGGAGAGACGGCAAGGGUUGAAGGCCCCAGAGAAAAAGAUGACCAUCCCUAACCAGCCGAGUUAAGGCACUGCGGUUCGCGAUGGGCUGACCCUUGCCUGGGGCCAGAUCUAGAUUGUUCUUCCCAAGGCAAUUCAGACCAGGCUACAGGUCAUCAGAUUAAAGUUGCUUUUUAUAAGUACGAGGCAGAUGAUGCCACUAGAGUUGAUUGCCAUUAGAAGCUCCUCAAAUGACUGUCAACCAGUGGCUGUCACGUGGUGCGGUGCAGAACGAUGCAUAAAGCCAGUGGAAGGUGGUCCUGCCUGACAAGCUUCCGGCCCACCAGAUAAAUAUAGAGACCACGUGCCUCGUGGUGAAAAGGUCCCUUGGCCAGUUUGAAUCCCCACGAGCGCUGGCACAGAAGCUGACACACAGCAAGCACUCCAAAUAUGUGUGUCAACGAACACUCGACUCGACCAUGUUUGCAUAACCGCGUGACCAGGCCAAGGUUGACAGCUGAGACAGCGACUAUCACUGGCUUCCAGAUGGGGACACAGGCUCGGAGGCUGAGUGACUCACACAGAGAGGGAUGGAGCUGGGAUUUGAACCCACUGUGUCCGGCCCAGGAGACAAGUGGCAAGGUUAGAAAAGAAACCAAGGAAGAAAUGAAGGUUGAAAUGAAAAAGCAGAAAUGAGAAUGAGAAUUACCAGUUGCGGUGAGGGCGGGAAAACGCAGACCUCCUGACAGUUUCAAGGAUUUCUCCCAAGAAAGUUACAGCUGUGCGUUUGUGGGCGACGUUUCAGUUAGAUGGAAACCAGCUGGACACCUGUCUGGAUGUCCCCGGCUGAGCGCCCACUCGCCGGCUCUCCUCUCUCCUCCGGUCUCUGCAGCGCUGCGCACCCGGGCACUGUCCAGACCCGCCCCCUCUCCUCGCCUGCGCCCCGA
rnacentral:lncRNA from 1 species